rnacentral:lncRNA from 1 species
UAUUUCGCAUUUCAUAAAUUGAUACAAUCAAAUCCCACAAGCGAUUUAGUUGACUAAAUAUUAUUGCUAAUGUGAAAGUGAUGUUGCAGAGUUGUGAUUGAUGACACUGUAAUUAAAAUAUUAUAUCACUUUCACUCCAGCGAUAUAUUAAUAUUUAAUAGAUUAAAUUAAGUUGUAAGACUUUAUUAUAAUAAUUUUAAAGUUCAAACUAAAAAUUAUAAUAAAUUAAAGUUUGAGAAUCAAUGUGUCAUACUUU